rnacentral:ncRNA from 1 species
AACUAGAAAAGGCAAACUUAUUGAAAGAUAAGGGCGCAAAACUUCGGGCCUAAAGUGUGCGGAUCAAGUAUUCCACACCAAGGUAGCCGGGUCGCCGGA